UGACGCCAUCCAACAUUUUACGGAACAGCAGCUGCAGAGAGAGGUGGAGGAGCUGAAAGAGGCUGUCCCUCCGACAGCAGUUUCCCCCCCCAGGGACACCGUCUUGGCCUUGCCCCCUCCUCAAAAGACCAAGGCGAUCCUGCGCCUGGGAGAGACCAACGCCAUGCUGAGAACAAGGAUUGCUGAGCGCUUCUACUUCCCCUUCAUCUUCCCCCGCUUCCUCAUGAAAGGCUUCGUCCCCUUCGUGAAGCUCCCGCUGCCGAAGGUCACUUUGCAGCCCUUCCCGUCCCUCUCCAAGAGGCCGCCGAGCUCUUUCCCUGCCGGGCAGCAGCUGGUGCACAAGUAUUUCAUCCCAAAGCUUUCCUACGCCGACAGCUACCCCUGAAGGCUGGGCUGGCUGGCAGAGGCCCAGGCGGAGCCGAGGGGCUUCCGAGGCGGGAGUCGGACGGCCCCCUGGCCGAAGAGCCAGGUGGCACCAGCCUGGCACUGGCACACAUGGACCACUGGACCCACCUGGUAGCAACCACCAGGGAGUCUCCUGGGUUCUGACGCCCGAUCAGAUGUGCGGACAGAGGGAGAGAGAGGCGCCAAUAAAGUGGAAAGUGGAGCCUC